AUCUCUAAUGAACCUGAAAGACUUCUUUUGGUAGGUGUUAAUAAAGCAGGAGAUCCAAAGGAAAAGCGGUUAUGCCAUCCAAGCAGACGAAGAGCAACUUCGUGUACAGUUAGAUACAAUUCAGUGUGAACUGAACGCACCUACGCAGUUCAAGGGCAGACUGAAUGAGCUCAUGUCCCAAAUCAGGAUGCAAAACCACUUUGGAGCUGUGUGGGCUGAAGAGCGCUAUUAUGUAGAUGCAGACCUCUUAAGGGAAAUCAAACAACAUCUGAAGCAGCAGCAAGAAGGUCUGAGUCACCUAAUAAGCAUCAUAAAGGACGACUUGGAGGACAUCAAACUUAUAGAACAGGAACUGAAUGAGAGUAUUCCCAGAGGAGUCUUCAGUUGAUGCAGUGGAUGCUGCUGGGCUUACACAGAAGGUGUUACUCAAGUUCAUGGUUUACCUUGCAAGGCUAAAAAAAAAAACAUUAAAAAAAUAAACCACAUACAUACUUUCUAAAAACAGUGGUAUUUUGGCUGUUAUCUUUAGAAUUAGCAAAGCCUCUCCUAAGCUUUUGAACUUAACCUUUGGAAGGUUUAUAUUUUGUAAAGCUGUAUAUGCUUCAGUAAAAGAAGGACAACUGAAUCUGUUCAGAUACUGUUUUACUAUAAAACUAUGUACUGUUGUACAUGUUUCCUUUUUUUAUCUUUUUUUUUUUUUUCCUUUUUUUACAACAGCAUUGUCCUAGAAAUGCAGUACUGAUGGAAUUGUUCCAACUGUGACUUGGUCUGAAGAAAGCUUAGCUCACUUCCAUGUGUUUGUCGAAACAAUUAGGUCACAUCCUUAUGUAAACAGCUAAUUUAAAUUAUUACAGAUCCGUAUGUUGCUGUACGUACAUCGAUCUCUGCAAUACCAGUAGCUUACUGGGGCAAGCUGCUGGAAGUUGAUGUUUCCCAUUUCUGUCCUUCCUUUGGACUGCAAGAAGGUUAUGUUUUCAUCACUUGCCCUAUGUGAAUUAUACAAAGCUUUGCUGCCCCUUAAAUAACAACAGUAUCUCUAGAUGUUAUCUUCUGCCUUUUUUUAAUUGCUGGAGUGUAAUAAAUUCAGUCUGACUUUGUAAUAA